GGCUACUCUCGGGAACCGGCAGCGUCAAUGACGCCCGAAUAACAACAGCUAGGCCGGUUCCGAUGCUCAGUUACACAUACAUAGUACCUUCGGAGGUCGAAGCCUGAAACAGGCGAGGAAGCACAGGACCCUUGCGUGCCUGAUAGAGAAACUCUCCAGGCGGAAUACAAGCCUGUAGCAGAGCUGGCUUGGGAGGCGCAAUCGCCACGGAGGAAAACUCCUUUAUACCAACAUCUAACGAUGUAGCCACUCAAUUGCAACCAGGCCGCUUGUGGAUUCCGGUGCUCCCUUCACAAAACGCCUCUCCUAUGGAUAAGUUCCCGUCUGCAUUAAGUACUGCGUUCAAUCACGUCUGAGGUUCACGGAUUGGUGGAGCUAAAACGGAGGGAGAGGACAGCAAUCAGUGGACAGCAGACCGAGAGAGAAAGAAAACAAGGCAAUGGGGCAGUCCUACUACACGUCACAUCAAACACCUGUGAAUUACGAGGGAUUACUACUGAGAUGGUAAAUGAAAGGAACCUCAUGAACCUCAAGAAACCUUUUCCAAUUAGAAAGAUUCCUCUAUGGGAAAAGUACACCGUGAGUGUGGCUGUGGCGGUCUCCGCGGUCGCUUCGGUGGCCAGAGUGCAGCUGUAGUCCCCUUCGUCUCCUUGCUCGAGCGGGCUGAUCUCCAGCAGGCCCUCGGCC
ensembl:lncRNA